GGUCAGUUUAUGGAUGGAGUAUUAAACAUACGUGUCACGGCGAAUUCUCUUCCCCGGGUUGGCCUCAGUUUUACGGGCCUCGAGAAAGUAAAGCAUCGACUGAGAAGCAGAAAGUUUUGAGGCUGGAGGAGAGAGCCAGGUGCAGCUCAAGACAUGUGCUAAUUUAUGUUUUUCAGCUUUCAGGAUUUCUCUUGGAUCUCAUCCAAAAGCUCUCCCUGAGUCAGAGAGAUCCUUCACAGUGGGAGUCCCUACCCACAAGCCCCUGCUGCGCGUUUAAAUCGGAAGCCGGAGCAGCCACGGAGAGGAGACGAGGAGAGACAAAGCACGCCGUACGGAGAGAGUGGGACACAGAGGGUCUGAGCAGUGUCAGAAAAUCUGGCAGCAGCUGAGAUGAAGGCAGGACGUUUGAAGAUGAGGAAAGAUGUUUGAACCUGCACCCUCUUCUCAGUGUCCCAGUGGGGAGCGUAUAUGGGAAGGCAAGUCAUGUAUUAUUUAGAGUCAGAUCUUCUUUUCUGCUUGAUCAGGGCUUGAUUGAGAGAGGCUGUGACUGCGGUUUCUUUCCCCCGCGUAACAAUCUGCUCAG